rnacentral:rRNA from 1 species
UACGUAGGGUCCAAGCGUUAUCCGGAAUCACUGGGCGUAAAGCGCACGUAGGCGGCUUAGCAAGUCGGAUGUGAAAUCCCUCGGCUCAACCAAGGAAGUGCAUCCGAAACUGCUGAGCUUGAGUACGAAAGAGGAUCGCGGAAUUCCCGGUGUAGAGGUGAAAUUCGUAGAUAUCGGGAGGAACACCAGUGGCGAAGGCGGCGAUCUGGGUCGAUACUGACGCUGAGGUGCGAAAGCGUGGGGAUCAAACAGG